GGACCCGCACAAGUAGUGGAGCAUGUGGUUUAAUUCGAAGAUACGCGAAGAACCUUACCAGGGUUUGACAUCCUGCGAAUCUCUUGGAAACUUGAGAGUGCCUUCGGGAGCGCAGUGACAGGUGGUGCAUGGCUGUCGUCAGCUCGUGUCGUGAGAUGUUGGGUUAAGUCCCGCAACGAGCGCAACCCACGUCUUUAGUUGCCAGCAUUUAGUUGGGCACUCUAGCGAGACCGCCGGUGAUAAACCGGAGGAAGGUGUGGAUGACGUCAAGUCAUCAUGCCCCUUACAUCCUGGGCUACACACGUACUACAAUGCUACGGACAAAGGGCAGCAAACUCGCGAGAGCUAGCAAAUCCCAUAAACCGUGGCUCAGUUCAGAUCGUAGGCUGCAACUCGCCUACGUG
rnacentral:rRNA from 1 species